rnacentral:rRNA from 1 species
GCCCGUCGCACCAUGAGAGCCGAUAACACCCGAAGCCUGUGAGCUAACCGUAAGGGGGCAGCAGUCGAAGGUGGGGUUGGUGAUUGGGGUGAAGUCGUAACAAGGUAGC